GCAUCAUUCCCCAUCUUUGUCAAUUCGAUCAGCCUGCACUCUCUGGUUGUGUCAGAAGGAAAGUGCUUCCUGUUCGGAUAAACAGGCUGGGGUGCGGC
rnacentral:pre_miRNA from 1 species